CUGGCUUCUUCGAAGAUCCUUAUACCGUUUGAAGAUGGUAUAAUGAUUCAAAGCGAAGCCUAAAUUGAAAUUCACGACUAAUUUAGCUUCUUCUUCUCAAAUGUAUUAUUAGGAAAAUUCAAUACGCUAUGGAAGUUGAAACUGGUAAUAUUCUUAUCGGUAGACAAUU
rnacentral:snoRNA from 1 species